rnacentral:rRNA from 1 species
CCUACGGGAGGCAGCAGUGAGGAAUAUUGGUCAAUGGACGAUAGUCUGAACCAGCCAAGUAGCGUGAAGGAUGACUGCCCUAUGGGUUGUAAACUUCUUUUAUAUGGGAAUAAAAUGUUCCACGUAUGUGAUUUUGUAUGUACCUUAUGAAUAAGGAUCGGCUAACUCCGUGCCAGCAGCCGCGGUAAUACGGAGGAUCCGAGCGUUAUCCGGAUUUAUUGGGUUUAAAGGGAGCGUAGGUGGAUUGUUAAGUCAGUUGUGAAAGUUUGCGGCUCAACCGUAAAAUUGCAGUUGAUACUGGCAGGCUUGAGUACAGUAGAGGUAGGCGGAAUUCGUGGUGUAGCGGUGAAAUGCUUAGAUAUCACGAAGAACUCCGAUUGCGAAGGCAGCUCACUGGACUGCAACUGACACUGAGGCUCGAAAGUGUGGGUAUCAAACAGGAUUAGAUACCCGUGUAGUC